CUAUUUUUUCUUAGAUUCUGUAGGGCUUUGUUUUCUUGUCCGCUUAGAUUGCUCCUAAAUUUUUUCUUUUUAUUUUCUGUAUCUAAUUUUUCUAAGUCCUCAAUCACAGACUUCUCAAAGAUUUCAAUUGCACUGGUUUUAUAAGUUCUAGGAAAAAAAUUGGAUUUAUUUCUCAGAGCUGUAUGCGUUCCAUUUGUUUUAAAAUCUACAAAUUUAUUCAUAUUAAAAAAUCUUUUUAAGGUCAAGGUCCU